UGCCCUGUGGUGUAACGGUAGCACAGCAGAUUCUGGAUCUGUUUGUCCUGGUUCGAAUCCAGGCGGGGCAACCA
rnacentral:tRNA from 1 species